rnacentral:rRNA from 1 species
GACGGAGGGCGCUAGCGUUGUUCGGAAUCACUGGGCGUAAAGGGCGCGCAGGCGGCCUCGUCAGUCGGGCGCGAAAGCCCGGGGCUCAACCCCGGAACGGCGCCCGGGACGGCGGGGCUGGAGGCCGGGAGAGGGCGGUGGAAUACCCAGUGUAGAGGUGAAAUUCGUAGAUAUUGGGAAGAACACCGGUGGCGAAGGCGGCGACCUGGUCCUUGACUGACGCUGAGGCGCGAGUGCGUGGGGAGCAAACAGG